GACGAACGCUGGCGGCGUGCUUAACACAUGCAAGUCGAACGGAAAGGCCCUGCUUUUGUGGGGUGCUCGAUUGGCGAACGGGUGAGUAACACGUGAGUAACCUGCCCUUGACUUUGGGAUAACUUCAGGAAACUGGGGCUAAUACCGUAUAGGAGCUCCUGCUGCAUGGUGGGGGUUGGAAAGUUUCGGCGGUUGGGGAUGGAUUCGCGGCUUAUCAGCUUGUUAGUGGGGUAGUGGCUUACCAAGGCUUUGACGGGUAGCCGGCCUGAGAGGGUGACCGGCGACAUUGGGACUGAGAGACGGCCCAGACUCCUACGGGAGGCAGCAGUGGGGAAUAUUGCACAAUGGGCGGAAGCCUGAUGCAGAAACGCCGCGUGCGGGAUGACGGCCUUCGGGUGGUAAACCGCUUUCGCCUGUGACGAAGCGUGAGUGACGGUAAUGGGUAAAGAAGCAACGGCUAACUACGUG
rnacentral:rRNA from 1 species